rnacentral:rRNA from 1 species
UACGGAGGGUGCAAGCGUUAUCCGGAAUCACUGGGUUUAAAGGGUGCGUAGGCGGCUAAAUAAGUCAGAGGUGAAAGCUUGCAGCUUAACUGCGAAAUUGCCUUUGAUACUGUAUAGCUUGAAAGGAGCUGAGGUCAGCAGAAUGUGGCAUGUAGCGGUGAAAUGCAUAGAGAUGCCAGAGAAUACCAAUUGCGAAGGCAGCUGGCUGGGCUUACGUUGACGAUGAGGCACGAAAGAGUGGGGAUCGAACAGG